ACUAAACUCCGGUCGAAGCAUUUUGGGAUGAUGGUUCCAGCAAAAUGAAACUGUGCUUGUAGCAAAAAUAGCUAUGGUCGUAGCAAAAAUCGCUGGUCCAGCAAAGAACUAAACUCCGGUNAGAUGCAUGUUGGAUAGCGGUCGACGUGUGGAGUAAUAGUAGUAGAUGCAGACAAUAUCGGUCUACUUGUUUUGGACGUGAUGCCUAUAGAAAUAAUCAUUGGAUAAAUAUCGUCACGACUUUGCGCGGUUCUAUCAAUUGCUCGACAGUAAUUUGUUCACCCACCGUCUACUUGCUUUCAUGAGAGAAGCCACUAGUAAACACUACGACCCCCGGGUCUAUUCACAUCCAUCGUUUACAUCUCCGCUUUUAAUUUGCUUUGUUACUUUGCUGCUUUCAGUUCCCACUUGGCAAACAAUCUAUAAGGGAUUGACAACCCCUUCAUAGCGUUGGGAGCAAGCUUUUGUGUUUGUGCAGGAUCUUGAGAUACUCCUCCACUGGAUUGAUACCUUGGUUCUCAUACUGAGGGAAAUACUUACCACCGCUACGCUACAUCACCCUUUCCGCUUCGAGGUAACACCAACGCAAGGCUCCAAGGCCACGGGGGAAAUCCUUUGCAUACUUGCCUAGGAAGUCCGUUAAGGCGUAGCCGUAGUAGAAGGAUUCAUGGUGCCAUCAACACACCUAUUUCUGGCGUCGUUGGAAGGUCUUUUGUUGCAGUAGCAGGGCCCACGGGGACAAAUAUCAAAACCAUGUCACUACGUACAACAAACAAUCAUACAAGUAAGAAAAAUAUACAAGUAGCUAUCUAAAUAAUACAAAUAAGAUUGUAUUUCAGAAAAAGGAUAAGAACAAGAUCCUCACCAAGGUGGUGCCGUCGAUGGGCCGGCGCAGGCGAUCGACGGCGUUGAGGAUGUGGAGGGGAAGGCACUAAGUAAACCACAACUACUAAUAUGCAAACUAAGAAGUUAAUUUGAGCUCAGAUUGCAUAUUAAUCAAAUAAAAUCCCACAUAAUUACUCCCAAACUAAAACCAACAACUCACUAUACUUAUAGAGCAUGAAACAAGCUAAACUAGCAAAGAGAGGUGAAAGCAUGAAGUUACUAACCUUUUACAACCCUUGGAAAGAUGGGGUGCCUAAAAUCUUGACAAAUGUUCGAGAACUGGAGGAUAAGAGAAAACAGAGAGGAUGAGAUCAGGUUGGACGAAGGGGUUUAUAUAGGGAGAUCUUUAGUCCCAGUUGUUGAUACAACCCGGGAUGCAUGUUUUUCACUUUUCAGGUUUUCCAUACCAAACGAACUACAAUUGCCGGGAAACUUUUUGGUGAUUUUUUCUGGACCAAAAAAAUGUCGAGGAGUAUCGGAAGAAGGCUCGAGGCCGCAUGAGGGGCGACAAGCUAACAGGGUGUGGCCUCUGGCGCGCCCUGAUGGCUUGUGCCUCCCUCGUGGCCCUCCUGACUCCGUUCUCUGGCUUAUAAAUUCUCAUCUAUCCUAAAAACAUCAGAGGUUGUCCCGAAACACUUUUUACGCUGCUGCAAGUCUCUAUUCCGACGGGAGGCGAUCUGAAGCUCCGUUCCGGCACCCUUCCGGAGGGGAUCGAUCACACACUGCCUCUACAUCAACCUUGUUGCCCUCAUGAUGAUAUGUGAGUAAUUCAUCAUAGACCUACAGGUCAUAACCAGUACCUAGAUGGCAAUCUCUCUCUCUUUGAUCUUCAAUACAAUGAUCAUCCCAUGUUCACUUUGGUACAUAUGAUGUAAUUCCUUUUGUGCGGUUCGUUUGUUGGGAUCCGAUGAAUUUUGGGUAUAUUCAGAUUAUUCAUGAUAAAUAUUUGAGUCUCCUCUGAAUACUUAUAUUAUUCUUAUGUGAAUGAUUAUGAUAGACUUAUAAUUCUCUGUGACCUAUUGAAAUAGUUUGGCCAACUAGAUUGAUAUUUGUUCGGUGAGAGAGGUGCAUUAUUGUAGUAGGUUCAACCUGGCGAAUUUCUAUAUCCCAGUGAUAGAAGGGGGCAAGAUGCAUCUUUGUGUUGAUGUUACUAAGGAUAAAUUGAUGGGGUCUAUUCAUAUUGCCUGAGUUUAGUUUGUCUACAUCAUGUCAUUCUUCUCCAUGCAUUACUCUGUUUUAUUUAAUACUCUAGAUGCAGGCUGGAUAGCGGUCGAUGAGUGGAAUAGUAAUAGGUGCAGGAAGGAGUGGGCAUAUUUGGUUAUGGACGUGAUGCCUAUAUACACAUGAUCAUUGCCGUGAAUAUCGCAUAACUAUCCACAUUUCGGUCAAUUGCCCAACAGUAAUUUGUUUACCCAUCAUAUGCUAUUUUUCACGAGAGAUGCCAGUAGGGAAAAUUAUGGGCCCCUGGUCUAUUCACAACAUAUUGAUAAAACAUUCAAUACCUUACUGCCAUUUACUUGUUUUCAUUUUUUUCUUGCUAUCUACAAUUAUCUACACAACUCACUUGCUUGCAAAUAACAAGACAAGAGGAUUGACAACCCUCUUGCCCGCGUUGGGUGCAAGUUGUUUGUUCUUUUGUGUGCAGCCGCUGAGUAAGGUUGUGGUCCAUAUUCCUAUUGGUUCAAUAAAUCGUGGUUUCAAAAUCGAGGGAAAUAAUAACUCACAUUGUGAUGUGAAAACCCGUUCCUCUUGACGAAAAACCCGCCGGAGAUCACAAGUAUCAUACUCCACGAAGUGGGAAACUACCCGAAACUGGAAUGCUGGACCUAAAAACCAAGAAAAUGGUGAAAAUCACUGGACUUCAAAUGACCUGAAAUUUCACGGAGAAUUUUGAUGGAAUAUUUAAGAAUUAUUAGGCCAAAAAUAUACAGAGGGGGCACCUGUGGGCCACGCGCCAACAGGGCGCGACCACCCCCUGGUCGCGCCCUGUUGCCUCAUGGUGGCCCAGCAGGUCUCCCGACCCCCUUUCUUCUAUAUGGUAUCAUUAGACCUAGCAAAAAUCACGAGGGCACUUUUGGGAUGAAGCAUCGUUGUCUCGACGCGGCAACCUGGGCAAAGGCCCUUUUGCUCUCCGGCAGAGAGAUUCUUCAGGGGAAUUCCUCUCCGGGAUGGGGAAAUCGAAGCCAUCGUCAUCACCAAUGAUUCCUCCUUCGUGGGAGGAUCAAUCUUAAUCAACAUCUUCACCAGCACAAUCUCAUCUCCAACCCUAGUUUAUAUCUUGUAUUUAAUCUUUGUCUCAAAACCUCAGAUUGGUACCUUUGUAGUUGAUGCUUGUUGGAUUACUUGGUGGAUGAUAUUAUGUUCAGACCCUUGAUCACCAUUAUUAUACCUCUGAUGAUUAACAUGUUGAUGAGGUGUGAGUAGUUAUUAUUGUUCCUCAGGACAUGGAAGAAGUCUUGUUAUAAUAAUCAUGUCAAGUUGAUAUUAGUUUGAUAUUUUUUUGAUGUGUAUGUUGUUGCUUCUCUUAGUGGUGUUGUGUGAACGUCAACUACACGACACUUCACCAUGUUAUGGGCCUAAGGAAAGGCAUUAUGAAGAAGCAAAUAGAUGAUGGGUUGCUAGAGUGACAGAAGUUUAAACCCCAGUUUAAGCGUUGCUUCAGAAGGGGCUGAUUUGGAUCCACACAUUUCAUUCUAUGGUUAGAUUUAUCUUAAUCCUUCUUUCGUAGUUGCAGAUGCUUGUGAGAGGGGGUAAGCAUAAUUGGGUUGCUUGUUCAAGUAACAACAUCAAACUUACACUGGUCCAGCCACAUAAAAAAUUAUUAAAAUAACAAACGUGAAUCAACCCAACAUAAUGAACAUGACUAGACAGUAAUUCUCAUGUGUCCUCGGGGGCGUUUUUCUCAUAUGAGAGAACUUUCCUCAUGUCCUUUGCUAUAAACAAGAUUGGACUACCUUGAUGCAUACUUGCUACUGUUGUUACAGUCACCUGUUGUAAAUUAUCUUGCUAUAAAACUAUGGCACUUGCAGACAAUACCUUGCUGAAAAGUGUCUAUCAUUUUCUUUUGUUCCUUGUUGGGUUUGAUACUCUUGGUUAUUGAAAGAAUUAUAAUUGCUCAUUUAUACUUGUGGGACAUCACAUGCGUGCAUCCCCAACCAGUCCCUAUGGACCUGGGGACACGACCCUAGGACCCCUAACGGCCGCCGCAAAGGCGAGCUUGCACGAUGCCAAAGCUAAGAUCAUCGGUGCCGCACGGCCUGACAAAUAGGCGAUGCCAGGACCACCUCCAACAGCCCAUCGCAUCCGCAAAGACAAUGCUCACGAAAACAUCCCAGGCCGAGCCCAAACCUCACCUACCCGGAAAAAACCUCGAUCUGCCUCGGGCCAAGAUCCGGCCCUCCCAAACGCAAGCCCUAGGUCAUGGGAGCCGCCGUCAUGCGCAUAGCCGACCAGCCCCGCACUCCACCGGCUCCAACCCAGGAUAAGGAAGGCAAUCACGCCACCAUCCAGACCACGGCCGCACCAGCCCGUACCUCCGUCCCCACCCACCAUGCAUAGCCACGAAGACGGCACCUUGACCAGGAGUAGUCGCCGCCUUCAUCCGUCAGACAGCAGGACGAUGACCACCAGCCCGCGCCGCCUGGUGGCCGGAUCGAUCUGGCCGUCGCAGCCCACACACGCCCCAUCGUCGACAUUGCCCGCCACGCAGCUCGCACCAGCUAGCGUGCCGCCGCUGUCACGCCCGCCCGACGCAGAUCGUCGCACGACGCUCAGGCCUGAGGAUAAAAUUCUUGUUAGGUUAGUAAUAAAAAAUGUAGAAUUAGCACUUUGAAAUUUUGAGCAGUUAAUCAUCCAUUUCGCUGGAUUCUUAUCCACACGACACAAAAUUAUGUGGUAUUUGGAUGUACGGGCAUCUCUUCUUGAGAUAUUUCCUUAUCCUCAGACCACGACUUGUGAUUUUUCUGUGAAACUCGUGGGGAUAUUGCAAGGCCUCUCAACCACUUGGUUGUUGUUUGGGCCAAGUAGUAGUCUAUAAAUGUGCACACCGCUCCACACAUUUCGCCAGCCAAGAGAAGCUGGCAGAGAUGGCCGAGCCUUCCUAUCUCCAAAGUGUUACUCUUAGCCAAGAAAGCCAGCUAAAGGAAGUAGUGCUCCACUUGUACCUUUACCAGAAUUCACAGGCACAGCCCAAGGGCAACCAAUGCCAGAUCGUAGGUUCAACUCGCCCUCAUGCUUUCGGUGCCACCGUUGUUAAUGACUGGACCAUACAUGAUGGUCCGAGCCCCACCGCAAACAUCGUUGCCCGUGCGCAAGGCCUGCAUUUACAGGCAGGCAUGACUGCAGGCAACUGGUUCGUUUGCCACAACAUAGUUUUCACAGAUGACAGGUUUGAGUGUUUACUUCUAUUAUGAUGGUUCAAGCCUUUAGCAUCGUAUCGUCAUCUUUUUCUUGACAGUAUUACAACACUUUGUCACGUCUAAGGUUAUAUUUUGCACAACGCGAAAUGCGCUGAUUCAUUUGAUCGACUUUUAUUGCAUGCAUAUUUACUUACCUUGAUAUUUACAACUUUGUUUAGGUUCAAGGGGUCAACCCUUAAUGUUCUUGGAAACAUAGAGGGACAAGAAGGUGAAUGGGCAAUUGUUGGUGGUACCGGAGAGUUUGCGUAUGCACAAGGUGUUGUCUCCUACAAACCAAUCACGAGCACCACCCAAGGGAAGGUCACGAGGGAGCUUCAUAUCCGUGCCCUGUGCAUCACCUUGCUAAAACCGCCGGUACAAAGCACCUGACCUUGCGUUCUUUUGACAACUAGAUGAUUACAUGCGCGUUGAUGCGAAAGCACUAAUAGACAUGUCGCUACGAAAUAUUAUUAUUGCAUCCUAACAUUUAUUUUCUUACCUUAGCAACUUAACGGUUUUGAGAAAUUUUUGACAUAAAAUAAAUUAUAUCGUCUAGUAAAAACAUUUCAAGUUAGACUAUGAAAUUAAUACCUGGUAUUCAUUUUUUCAAUUCAAAAAUGUAUUCAAUUCAUAUUUGCACUCUUUAAUGCAUCCUAACCAUCAACGUCUAGAGCCAAUUCCAGUCGUUUUUAUGUCAUAUGACAAAGAUGACAUUUUAAUGACAUGACUUUGUUUACUUCCUCCGUCACGGUUUAAAAGGCACAGUUAAAUUUACGUGCGUUUUCAAAAUAGAUAAAGUUUAAGACGCGAAAGCAAUUACUCCUAUUAAUUAGGCUGGUCACAAUGAAGAGUAACAUAAGGUAGGAACCUACACGCUUUCCUAGACUAUGUUCCUACCUCCACAAUGGGGAGUAACAUGUAUGUAGUGUCAUGCAACAAUGCAUUUAUUAGGCUAUAGACUCAUUGUUUCUUGGAGUGUGUGAUGUUCCGGUAACUUAGCUAGUUACCACAAGCACCUCUCUCUUCACUAAAUACGUGCCACAUAAGCAAAGUUGUAUUGGAGUGUGUGAUGUUACUGCUAAGUUCCUCCCCAUUGUGACCAACCUUAGUACUAAUACUACUCAUGCAUGCGUCCUCCUAAUUUGCUGCUCACGCAUUAGUACUAGUAUUUUCUCAGUUGAUUAGGCGCAUUAGCAUCUACACCUACUACAUCUCACAACCAAUCGAUGACUACCUUGGUCCUAGAGAUUUUCCUAGCGUGCCUUCUAGACCGUGACGGAGGGUGUAUGAUGUAUGAUGUGAAUAACUAUGUGACUAAUUAUGAUUGGCAGACAUGUAAUACAUGCAUGACUUGGUAAGGUGGGAGAGUGGAUGUUAUAAUAAUUAAAGAUAGUGGAUGUGGUGCAUGGCUGAAUAUAGUGAUAGUGGAUGCUAACAUGACACGAUUGAUGAGGUGGAAACGUGCAUGUUGAGGGAAUUACUUGUAAACAUGUCUAUGCAUUGCAUCGAGAGAGAAAGUUUAUAUGCCUCUAGCACGAUAGGCAACAUUUUUAUAUAGUGCAACAUGUAUCUUAUCAUAUGAGGUAGUCUUCUUAGUUUGUUGUUGCGUUGAGUACUACUGUACUUGCUAAAAGCCUAAAAGAUUGGUUGUGAGUUCGAACUCCCUAGCUAAGCAAACAAAAAAAAGGUGUAUAAGUCUACUCAGCACAGGUCCAAUCAAUUUUUGUUUAUAAUUAAGUCUACAGUGCAUAGGUCCAGCCCAACAAGGCUAUGUGGAUCGUACUCAAUCUAUUUCAAAUGCAUAUCCCAUUUUUGCGAAGCAGGGUUAUGAAAACCCAUGAGAAGCAACUGGACGAAUUGUAUGUGUCAAUUGCCAUUUAGCUAGCAAGCCCGUCGAUAUUGAAGUUCCCCAAGUUGUGCUUCCCGAUACUGUAUUUGAAGCAGUUCUUCGAAUUCCUUAUGAUAUGCAAUUGAAACAAGUUCUUGCUAAUGGAAAAAAAGGAGGGUUGAAUGUAGGUGUUGUUCUUAUUUUGCCCGAGGGAUUUGAAUUAGCGCCGCCCGGCCGUAUUUCCCCUGGGGUGACGAGAACGACGUACCUAAAAAGUGAAGGACAGAUGAAGCGUAAGAAAAACAUUAUUGACAAGGUUUAGGGUGCAUGUAAUUAGCUCGCAAUAGUAAAAUUUACGUGUAUUUCCUUAAUAAACAAGAUUUAUGGCGCAUUGCAAUUACUCCUAGCAGUUAAUUAGUACUACGUUGUACUAGUUCUAUAUGCAUGCGUAGUGUGAAUGCUAUUUUUUCAAUCCAUCUUAACGUGAUAACCACCUAGGUUCUAGAGAAUUUCCAAACACACCUUCUAAACCGUGACGGAGUAAGUACUUUACAGUGGAUAGUAACACACGGAUAGUAAUAUUGAGCCUUUUAUUUAUUAGCAGACUUAUUUUGUCUUUGUACGUGUUAUGUUACUCAUAGUAAGAGUAACUAGCUAUGUUAUUCAAUUUGUUUUUUUUAUUAUUAAUUAGCUGACAUAUCAUAUUUUUUUACUUAGGUGGCUUCUAUAUCUAUGUUAUUCCCACGGUACGUAAUCUCAUCAAAUGACCAUCAUCAGCUUGAUUGAUUUUUUUUACAUUAUCCAGGCCCCUGUCGUGCCUACUGCCUCUACAGUGGCUGCCUCAUCUGAGAUGGUUGCCCAAGCAGUGGUGCCUCCACCGGCGGUGCCAGCCCCCCCAGUGCUGCCUACUCGCUCGGAGGUGGUGCCUACACCGGCGGUACCAGCCCUCCCAGUGCUGCCUACUCGCUCGGAGGUGGUGCCUACUCCUGUUGAUUUUCCAAUGGUGCUCACGAAAUAUGGUCCAUGGGGUCCUGAAAAUGGAAAAUAUAAGGACAUGCAAAACGAGUUGCCUCAAAGGCUCGUACGCGUGACCUUUUUUCACGGUCUUUACAUUUAUAUAAUGAGUUUCUCAUAUAUUGAUCAUUCGGGUGUCACGAAAUCAUGCCAAUUGGGAGGACGACCUGUCUCGGGGAGCAUGCCUAAAGAGGUAACUGAAUUUUCCACGGCUUAUUAGUCGUUGCUGAACUAUGUUUAUGACAAAAUUAUUUGACAAUUUAUCAUGAUCUACUCCCAUGUUCCUAAAUAUAAGUCUUUUAAGCGAUUUCACUAGGUGUCUACAUACGGAGCUAAUUGAAUAUACACUCUAAAAUAUGUCUAUAUACAUCCGUAUGUAGUACAAUAAUGAAACCUCUAAAAAGACUUAUAUUUAGGAAUAGAGGGAGUACAUAUAACGCACGCAUGCACGCACAAAGGACUCGUACAACAAUGACUUGCUGAUUACCUUUGUUUCCCUUCAGAUGAAUCUUGAAGAUGGAGAGUUUGUGAAGAGCGUUUCGGGAACAACUGGACUCUUUGAUGGAGAUGCUCGACUAACGUCAGUCUCAUUUGUCACAAAUUUGCGGAGCUAUGGACCUUUUGGAAGAGAAGGGAAGCACGCUAGUUUCAGCACCCCUGAGCUCAACAACGAUAGUAGUAUUGUUGGCUUCUUCGGGUGGCAUGUGAGUAACUUCGCCAUCGACUCAACAAAUUAUCUCAGUUCACUCGGAGUUUAUGUGGCCUCACCACGUGCUACUUAGGAUCAAGCUGUUGACUGAAACAAAAUAAGGGCACGUGGUGCACUCAUCAAUAAAGUUGUACUGGUAACUGAUUUUCCAUUUUGCGCAUGUUUUUUUUUCCUUGUAAGAACAAUUAAUAAAGUUCCCAUUAUCAAGAGUUGGUCUUUCAAAAAGGGGUUGAAACCCCGUAUCCUAUUUACAUAAGAAGUUCAUCCCUACUAAGUGAGUUACCUUAACAUACAGCCUAUCCAUCUCAUCAAUCUGCCAUCUCAACAAUUAUUCUUCCUUUUUAAAGUGUUUUAAGUCUCACGUCAUAUUCAAUUCAUGGAGACGAAAGAAAGGAAAAUAGUGGCUAUGCAUGUACUCCCUCUAUCCAUAUACUCCCUCCUUUUCGGUUUAUAGGUCUCAUCUCAAAAAAAUUAGAUUUUCAUUAUAUUAGGUUCAUUUUGAGUCUAAUUGAGUUAAAGUGCUUUGAAUCACAUGUCAUAUUUAAUUCAUAGAGUUUAGAGAAAGAAAAUGAGUGGCUAUGCAUGCAUCAUUUUCUACAUCUACCAUGCAAGUCCAAUGAGAAGGUGGAUGCUAUAUCUAUUGCCUCGGAAAUUGAAUAUAUGAGAAAUAUUUCAUUAACUAGUUAAAAAUAGUGUCAUGCAAUCAGAAUUCACCUUGGUUGAUGAGAUUCCAGAUUUGACCCCUAUAAACCGGAAAGGAGGGAGUAUAUAAGACCUAAUGCGUUUUUCGAGGCUAACUUUGAACACAUGUUAGACCAAUUAAUAUAUGACAUGCAAGUUACCCAAAGCAUACCGUCAAAUUCGUACGUGAAAGGAGCUUUCAAUGACAUAAUUUUUAUAUUAUAUAUCUUAUAUAAUAUUAAUCUUAUCAAUAGUCAAAAACAAUUUAAAAAAAUGCAUUAGGUCCUAUAUAUAUGGAUGGAGGGAGUAUCUUUUUCUACUUGCACCAUACAAAUCCAAUGAGGAGGAGUGUUUUACAUUUAUUGCUUGAAAAAAUGAAUAUGUGAGAAAUAUUUCAUUGGUUAGUUAAAAAUAGUGCCAUCCACUUGCGGUCCAUCUUCAUUGAUAAGAUUUCAGAUUUAAGCACUAUAAACCGAAAAGAAGAGAGUUCAAGAAAGAAGCCCGAUCGUCUCAUUAGAAAAGCUCAGCCGUCUUUCCCACGUAUCUCUCCCUUUUCAUUUCUCUCUUCCCUAAAUAAAGCACCGAUCUUUUCCUUGGCAACAAGGGAGUGUUAGGCGCCGGCGCGCCGGCCUAAAGUUUCGACCGGUCGCACCCCAGCCUUCUGAUUAGCCCACCCGAGCCGUUAGAUUCUCACCCAUCCACGUUGUUUUCAUCCUUCUCAUCCGUUCGUGUUCAGAUCUGAAUAAACACCGCAGGUAAUGGCAGCCACCCACCAUCACCGCAUCACGUAGUGCACGGUCAUGCUCCCUUCAUUUGUCGUCAUCCACACCCGCUGCCGUGCUCGCCAGUGAUGCUCGCCGUCGAUGCUUCCAAGAUAUUUUUUGUCAGAAAAGCAGCUAUCUACCGCCGCCCCUGUUGAAUCAUUUGAAAACAUGGUUCCAGCAAAUUGAAGCUAUGGUUGUAACAAAAAUCGUUGAUCCAACAAAGAACUAAACUGCAGUGGAAGCAUUUUUUGAUGCUGGUUCCAGCAAAAUAAAAUUAUGGUUGCAGCAAAAAUAGCUAUGGUUGUAGCAAAUAUCGCUAGUCCAGCAAAGAACUAAACUCCGGUCGAAGCAUUUUGGGAUGAUGGUUCCAGCAAAAUGAAAUUGUGCUUGUAGGAAAAAUAGCUAUGGUCAUAGCAAAAAUCGCUGGUCNNNNNNNNNNNNNNNNNNNNNNNNNNNNNNNNNNNNNNNNNNNNNNNNNNNNNNNNNNNNNNNNNNNNNNNNNNNNNNNNNNNNNNNNNNNNNNNNNNNNNNNNNNNNNNNNNNNNNNNNNNNNNNNNNNNNNNNNNNNNNNNNNNNNNNNNNNNNNNNNNNNNNNNNNNNNNNNNNNNNNNNNNNNNNNNNNNNNNNNNNNNNNNGGUUCCAGCAAAAUGAAAUUGUGCUUGUAGGAAAAAUAGCUAUGGUCAUAGCAAAAAUCGCUGGUCCAGCAAAGAACUAAACUCCGGUGGAAGCAUUUUGGGAUGAUGGUUAAAGCAAAAUAAAAUUGUGGUUGUAGAAAAAAUCGCUCAUCCAGCAAUGAACUAAACUCCGGUGGAAGCAUUUUG
rnacentral:lncRNA from 1 species